rnacentral:lncRNA from 1 species
UCCACUCUCCAAGGUCAGGUGUUUACUCAAUAAUUUCACCUUGGAGUCUAAUUUCUCUUGUUCUAACAUGAUUACUGGGACAUCAAUUGUACCCCUUGGAUUCUACACUCUUCAAGAUAUUUGAAAUGUUUUUCAACCCAAGAUUCUACCACGAAAUCACUCAACUCUUAGCCUCUGACUAACUUAGAAUUCUCAGUUUUUCCUCACUCCCACCUCAUGUUCAACACCCUGUAUAUAUAGACAUUGCUCUAUUCGCCUUGCGCUUGAAGAAACAGUCCUUGCGCCUAUCAGACUUUCCGAGCAAGAAAGCGGUACCAUUGAAGAAACCGUCUUGCGCUUCAAGAAACAUCCAUGCGGCCCAUCAGACUUACUGAGCAAGAAAACUACCUAGCAUUUCAACUUCCUUAAAAGCAAGCAGCGGCUUCAGAGUAAAAAUGCCUCGCGUUUUCCAUAGAAUGCUCCCAACACGAUUUUGAGACACACACAAGACCCAUUCUUCUCUUAUUCGGCACAUGCCACUACUUUCCAAGGAGAGAUCACACGAUUCAGGUUACCGGUCUGCUCACAUACUUGGUAAAGGGUGAAUAAGUUGACAAGGAAAUCGCCUAAACAGUUGUUGUCCUGAAGGCAUAAGAGAAUAUGAGAAAUUAAAAAACUUAACUCAUUCCUCAUAUAAACAGUUGUUAACAAAUUCCACUGAUAUUCCAUUCUGGAACAAUAGUAUAUGAUAUAGUCUCAUAGCAAGUCUGUUAGCAUGAAAUUUAGUAAUUAGAAGAAAUAUGUGAAGCACAAACCCGAUGAUAUAAAGAUUGAAUAUAAGCAGUGUUUGGUCCCAUCAUGUUUUCAAAGGACAUGAAUCUGAAAUGGUUUUCCCUGGCUUGUAUUGUUCGGAAGUUUGUAUUUUAAGAUUAAUAAUUGAUAAUUGUAGGGCCAUACUAACACCUUUUAUACAAUCACGACAAACAUAAAGUCUCAAUUGAUCUAUGUAGUUGGUAUGAUUAACAAUACAACUAAUGAUUAGCAUUCCCUUUUUUUAAUUUCUAUCUGCUUUAUUUAUGCCAAACUUUUAUUUUAUUGGUCAAGUAUUUAUGCCAAACUUCAUUUUCUUAAAUUUGUAGUAAUUUUCAUUGCUUGUAAUAAAACUUGUAAGACUAUAUAUCAAAUCUAUCCAAAGGGAUCAAUCCCUAUGAUAUCAAAACAAAAGAAGGAA